rnacentral:rRNA from 1 species
UACGUAGGUGGCAAGCGUUGUCCGGAUUUACUGGGCGUAAAGGGCGUGCAGGCGGUUUGUUAAGUCUAGGGUGAAAGCUCCCGGCUCAACUGGGAGAGGUCCUUGGAUACUGGCGAACUUGAGGGAUGCAGAGGAAAGUGGAAUUCCCGGUGUAGUGGUGAUAUGCGUAGAUAUCGUAAGGAAGACCAGUGGCGAAGGCGGGUCUCUGGACAGUUCCUGACGCUGAGGCACGAAGGCCAGGGGAGCAAACGGG